GUGUGCGCGCCGCCUCCUCCAGCUCCCUCCCUGCCAGGCAGCGACAUAGAACCCGCGUCCGGAUCGGCCGGCCCCCCAGCCCUGCCUUCCUGGACCCGCCCUGCCAUUUUCUGACACCCUUACGAGCGUGGUCGCUGUUAGGGGCCGUGCUAUUGGAGGGCUUCAUGUCUUUGUUGCUGUUGGGCGCUACCCAGGGAAGCUGCAUCUCCUUCCCACCCCCCAAAUGGCUUCCUCUUACUCAUCCUCCCGAACCCGAGAUAGAUCGAACUCGGGUCCUUGCACUUGCAAGGCAGGCGGCAGAACCACUGAGCUAAAUCCCUGGCCCAGAGAAUGCCCUGUUGAUGGUCUUGGGUUUGAUGAUGUGUGAUGAUACUCAUGCUCGUUAUGAGGGAUACAAGGUGAAAAGCCCUGUAUGGAGUCAGGUCCAACUGAAGAGAACUGUCAACCGGAUUCUAAUC
rnacentral:lncRNA from 1 species